UACGUAGGGGGCAAGCGUUGUCCGGAUUUAUUGGGCGUAAAGAGCGUGUAGGCGGCCAGGUAGGUCUGCUGUGAAAACUCGAGGCUUAACCUCGAGCUGUCGGCGGAAACCAUCUGGCUAGAGUCCGGAAGGGGAGAAUGGAAUUCCCGGUGUAGCGGUGAAAUGCGCAGAUAUCGGGAAGAACACCCGUGGCGAAGGCGGUUCUCUAGUACGGUACUGACGCUGAGACGCGAAAGCGUGGGGAGCGAACAGG
rnacentral:rRNA from 1 species